rnacentral:rRNA from 1 species
CUGGCCUUUAAAAACGGCAUGUGCACGCUCCUUUCACUAAUCCACACACACCUGUGCACCUUCGCGGGGGUCUCUUCGUUAACUCGAAGAGGCUCGCGUCCCUUUACACACCCUUUGUAUGUCUUAAGAAUGUCUACUCGAUGUAAUAAAACGCAUCUAAUACAACUUUCAACAACGGAUCUCUUGGCUCUCGCAUCGAUGAAGAACGCAGCGAAAUGCGAUAAGUAAUGUGAAUUGCAGAAUUCAGUGAAUCAUCGAAUCUUUGAACGCACCUUGCGCCCUUUGGUAUUCCGAAGGGCACACCUGUUUGAGUGUCGUGAAAUUCUCAACCCUCUUCACUUUUGUGAACGUAGUGGAUUGGACUUGGAGGCUUUGCCGGGCUUCACCGCUCGGCUCCUCUCAAAUGCAUUAGUGCGUCUUGUUGCGACGUGCGCCUCGGUGUGAUAAUUAUCUACGCUGUGGUGUGCUUGCUUCUGUGGAGACGCGCUUUCUAACCGUCCGAAAGGACAGCUUUCAUCGAACUUUGACCUCAAAUCAGGUGGGACUACCCGCUGAACUUAAGCAUAUCAAUAAGCGGAGGA